rnacentral:misc_RNA from 1 species
GGUUUCUCACAUAGCUCUUGGAUCCGUGAAAUACAGCAAGCUUCAGACAAAUCAAUAAUCAUUAGUGAAAUCCUGGAUUCUAGGACUAGGAACCUGGUCUCAGUGUCCAGAAUCAGUGACUAUGUGCUGUCAAAUGAACUGGUAAGUAUGGCUCUGGCAAUGGUGGCUGAAGACAAGCAAAUAAAUCGUGUACUAGAGGAACUCUUUGCAGAGGAGGGGAAUGAGAUGUGUAUUAAACCUGCAGAAUUUUACCUAUUUGACCAAGAAGAGCUUUGUUAUUAUGAAAUAAUGAUUAGGGGACGUCAAAGAAAAGAAAUUGUGAUUGGGUAUCGCCUUGCAAAUAGAGAUCAUGCUAUAAUUAACCCUCCUGAGAAGUCAAAACCAAGAAAAUGGUCACUUGAUGAUGUUUUUGUUGUCAUCUCCUUAGGUGAAUGACACUAAACAACUGCUACUUUCUGAUGCCAUUGCAUUAAUUACUCUCUUCUUUAUAUUCUUUCCAACUCCACACAAAUUCUUCCCCUA